ensembl:snRNA U6 U6 spliceosomal RNA
GCGCUGACUUCCACAGCACAUAUACUAAAAUUGGAACAAUAUCAGUAAGAUUAGCAUGGCCCCUGAUCAAGGAUGACACACAAAUUCGUGAAGAGUUCCAUAUUUUA